AGGUCUGUGAUCAGGAUCAGGUCUGUGAUCAGGAUCAGGUCUGUGCUCAGGUUUAGAAUCAGGUCUGUGAUCAGGAUCAGGUCUGUGAUCAGGAUCAGGUCUGUGCUCAGGAUCAGGACUCAUGGUGGUGUGGUGUUGUUUCAGGGG